rnacentral:rRNA from 1 species
UGGGGAAUAUUGGACAAUGGGCGAAAGCCUGAUCCAGCCAUGCCGCGUGUGUGAAGAAGGUCUUCGGAUUGUAAAGCACUUUAAGUUGGGAGGAAGGGCAGUAAGCGAAUACGUUGCUGUUUUGACGUUACCGACAGAAUAAGCACCGGCUAACUCUGUGCCAGCAGCCGCGGUAAUACAGAGGGUGCAAGCGUUAAUCGGAAUUACUGGGCGUAAAGCGCGCGUAGGUGGUUCGUUAAGUUGAAUGUGAAAGCCCCGGGCUCAACCUGGGAACAGCAUCCAAAACUGGCGAGCGAGAGUAGGGGAGAGGGUGGUGGAAUUUCCUGUGUAGCGGUGAAAUGCGUAGAUAUAGGAGGGAACACCAGGGGCGAAGGCGACCACCUGGGCUCAUACUGACACUGAGGUGCGAAAGCGUGGGGAGCAAACAGG